ACAAGUAUCAAUAUUUAUACUUCUCUCAGUUGCAAAUGGUGAUGUAAGCAUAUGCAAUUUCAACAGAAAAAAUAAUGUACACAGAGAAUUAAGUCUUUCUAUCUGAAAUGCAGUUUUCCUAAGAUUGAUGAUUAGCAGGUCUUUGUGUAUCCAAUCACCCUUUAAAAAAUACCUCUUGUAAUAGCUUUUGGUACACGGUGGUUCUGACAAAUACUAAACAAGCUAACAGAAAGUAGCAGCUUGUAAGCAGUCAUUCUUGUAGCUAAUUAGGUGAAACUGGAUUCAUAUCUCACCACCUAGAGAUCACAAUGAUUUCAUCUUGGAAAUCUGUGUUAAAAUGAAGAAAGGAGAAUGAAGACAAUCUUGCUCUCACCUUGACUUGACUUUGUGAUCUUUGUCAGAAGACCGGCAGGAGAACCAAACCAGCAGUUCCUUUUCCAUUGACUUUUAGGCUUCUAGCCAGGUUAAAGGAAGGAGGACUUGGUGACUGGCUGCAACUGCGUGUAAUGGCUGAAGGAGGGUGAAAUCUGCACAGAGGUCAGCCCAUCCAGAGCUUCCUAUCCAAGCUGUCUCCAGCAUUUCCUCUUGCUCCUCUGCGCUGGUCCUGAGCUGGAGAAGCAGCAAGGCAAGUACUGGAGCCAGGUAUCACCAGCUCAUACUGAAUGACUUUCUGCAGCUCUGGGGAAGGGGCUUGGAUAUGGGCUCGUACUUGAAAGCGCUUCUCAGGGAAUCAUACAUGACUCAUGUUUGAUCUGCAGUUGCUCUCUCUGAUGGGGCUUUUCAUGUCUGCGGUCUCUACAGACUCUUCCUGUUAUGUG
rnacentral:lncRNA from 1 species